GACGAACGCUGGCGGCGUGCUUAACACAUGCAAGUCGAACGGAAAGGCCCUUCGGGGUACUCGAGUGGCGAACGGGUGAGUAACACGUGGGUGAUCUGCCCUGCACUUUGGGAUAAGCCUGGGAAACUGGGUCUAAUACCGAAUAUGACCGCGCACUUCCUGGUGUGUGGUGGAAAGCUUUUGCGGUGUGGGAUGGGCCCGCGGCCUAUCAGCUUGUUGGUGGGGUAAUGGCCUACCAAGGCGACGACGGGUAGCCGGCCUGAGAGGGUGACCGGCCACACUGGGACUGAGAUACGGCCCAGACUCCUACGGGAGGCAGCAGUGGGGAAUAUUGCACAAUGGGCGCAAGCCUGAUGCAGCGACGCCGCGUGAGGGAUGACGGCCUUCGGGUUGU
rnacentral:rRNA from 1 species